rnacentral:rRNA from 1 species
GACGAACGCUGGCGGCGUGCUUAACACAUGCAAGUCGAACGGAAAGGCCCUGCUUUUGUGGGGUGCUCGAGUGGCGAACGGGUGAGUAACACGUGAGUAACCUGCCCUUGACUUUGGGAUAACUUCAGGAAACUGGGGCUAAUACCGGAUAGGAGCUCCUGCUGCAUGGUGGGGGUUGGAAAGUUUCGGCGGUUGGGGAUGGACUCGCGGCUUAUCAGCUUGUUGGUGGGGUAGUGGCUUACCAAGGCUUUGACGGGUAGCCGGCCUGGGAGGGUGACCGGCCACAUGGGGACUGAGAUACGGCCCAGACUCCUACGGGAGGCAGCAGUGGGGAAUAUUGCACAAUGGGCGGAAGCCUGAUGCAGAAACGCCGCGUGCGGGAUGACGGCCUUCGGGUUGUAAACCGCUUUCGCCUGUGACGAAGCGUGAGUGACGGUAAUGGGUAAAGAAGCACCGGCUAACUACGU